UGCUGAUCCAUGUACAAAACCGAUCAAAUCAGGUGUAGAGAGUGAGAACACAUCUUACUGAUCGGAAAAAGUUAUAUAGUAGAGAGAUCGCAGUGGAACAGCAUCGGUUUCAUUAAUCAGGUUUCCUGCGUAUCUUGGUCGGGUCUUUUAGUAACGAGGGGAUUCUGUCCGUUGAUCGGUGAGGAGUGUGAAACCUUAGAUGGCGAGCCAACCAACUGGAUCUUCUGGAGUCUCUGCGAGCUUGAACUUCAAAUCCUGAGAAACAUUAUGUGGUAGGACUGUUCCCAACAAAGAAUCUUACAUACAUUGGAGGACAUUGUUUGGUUUUGGCCAUUUUCGAAAGACUGCCGAACUGGUCGUUCGAAUACACGUACACUGAUAAACACACACACCAAUAUUAGUUUAAAAAGGGGGCUUUCUUUCAUUUUAUUUGUACGCCAGCUACCUUCUAUUUUUACUUUGUACAAUAUCAUUUUCCUACUAAAGUUACAUUGAAACUGUUACAGUGAAUCCGUCCAUUCAUUUGUGUUGCAAUGUCUGAACCUCUUACGAACCUAGAGUUGUGUAUUUACCUAUAGAUGGGUUACAUUAGCAAUAUGUCUGCAUUGUAUUUUAGAGGCUAAAAAGAGAUGAAAGUUCUCAGUUGGCAUAUACAGGUGCUGGUCAUAUAAUUAGAAUAUCAUCAAAAAGUUCAUUUUUUUAUUAUAAAUUAUUUUUAAAAAUGAAACUUUCAUAUAUUCUAGAUUCCCUACAUGUAAAGUAAAACAUUUCAAAAGUUUUUUUUUUUUAAUUUUGAUGAUUAGAGCGUACAGCUCAUGAAAGUCCAAAAUCCAGUAUUUCAAAAUAUUAGAAUAUUUCCUAAAAUCAAUCAAAAAAUGGAUUUGCAAAACAGAAAAGUUAAAGUUCUUUAAAGUAUGUUCUUUUGUGCACUCAAUACUUGAUCGGCAGGACAUAUUACAGCAAAUGACUUGCUCCUAGCACAAAUUACUGCAUCAGUGAAGUGUGGCAUGGAAGUGAUCAGCCUGUGGCACUGCUGAGGCACUAUUGAGUCUUCAGAUCAUCUGUAUAUUGUUGGAUCGACUGUUUCUCAUCUUUCUCUUGAAAAUAUCCCAUAGAUUCAGGUCAGGCAUAUUGGCUGGCCAAUAAAGCACAGUAAUAUCAUGGUCAGCAAACCACUUGGAAGUGGUUUUUGCACUGUGGGCAGGUGCUAAAGUCCUGCUGGAAAAGGAAAUCAGCAUCUCCAUAAAGCUUGUCAGCAGAUGGAAGCAUAAAGUGCUUCAAAAUCUCCUGGAAGAUGGCUGCAUUGACUUUGCACUUGAUAAAACACAAUGGACCAACACCAGCAGACGUCACGGCCCCCCCCAAAUCAUUAUUGACUUCAGAAACUUCACACUAGACUUCAAGCAGCUUGGAUUCUGUGCCUCUCCAGUCUUCCUUCAGACUCUGGGACCAUGAUUUCAACAUGAAAUGCAAAAUUUACUUUUAUCUGAAAAGAGGACUUUCGACCACUGUUCACUGUCCAGUUCUUUUUCUCCUUAGCCCAGGUAAGAUGCUUCUGACAUUGUCUCUGGUUCAGAAGUGGCUUGGUAGUCCUUUUCCUGAAGAUGUCUGAUUGUGGUGACUCUUGAUGCGCUGACUCCGGCUUCAUUCUACUCAUUGUGAAGCUCUCCCAAGUGUUUGAAUCGGCUUUACUUGACAGUAUUCUCAAGCUUGCGGUCAUCCCUGUUGCUUGUGCACCUUUGCCUACCCAAUUUCUUCCUUCCAGUCAACUUUGCAUUUAAUAUGCUUUGAUAUUUCACUCUGUAAACAGCCACCCCAUUCAGUAAUGACCUUCUGUGACUUACUCUCUUUGUGGAGGGUGUCAAUGAUUGUCUCCUGGACCAUUGCCAAGUCAGCAGUCUUCCCCAUUAGUGUGGUUUCAAAAAACAAAAGAUACCCGGAUUUUAUACUGUAGGGAUGGUCAUUUAAUGAAACUCAAAUGUAAAUAUUCUAAUAUUUUGAGAUACUGGAUUUUGGACUUUCAUUAGCUGUACGCUCUAAUCAACAAAUUUACAAAAAAAAACUUUUGAAAUGUUUUACUUUACAUGUAGGGAAUCUAGAAUAUAUGAAAGUUUCAUUUUUUAAAAUAAUUUACAAUAAAAAAAUGAACUUUUUCACGAUAUUCUAAUUAUAUGACCAGCACCUGUACAUAGAUAAGCAUAUCUAUGUUUCUCUCUAUUUGUAGACUAUUUGUCUUAAUGUGAUGAACACCCCGGACAUGAUUUUGUAGUUUUUUCCAGCUUUCUGCAUCUCUAUAAUGUGUCUUUAGGUCCUGUGAAUAUUGUCCGGAUAGACGAUGGUUCACACUAACCAAUCUAUUUUCAGAAGAACAGAUUUUGACAGAUUUGACAUGUACAACCCACACUUAUCUCAUUUCCUUAAAAAGGGACCUUUUGGAGAAGCUGAAUUACUACUGUGAAUGAUUGCUCAAUGUCUUCAGUACACUUAAAAGUAAGGGAGAUAUGACUGAAAGGAACUGCUAUGAUGUGAUUUCAAAGAAAUCCUGUGUCACGUGAUUUCAAAGUGUCCUGGAUAUAUAAAUACCAGCAAAGAGCUUUAUUUGGUAUUUGGACAUCUAGAGGUGGACAGAAGAUACAGAAAUCAACGCUCAGGUUUGUCUUUUUAUCACUUUAAUUUCAACUGUUAUGUAUUACACUUUUACUAAUUGUAAUUAUUUUCAUUUUUAAUUAUUUGAAUAUAUUAUUUUAUGUUCUUGAUUCUUAUGUUCUUGGUUACUCUUGGUGCAUAUUGACAGACUUCGAAAAGACAUGACACACAAUUGGCAUUCAUAGCAAAAGCAUCCAGUGGGACUGAUGGUAGCCUAAACAUGAGCUCGCAUAUUGAUGCAUGAGCAAUUUUCGGAUUUGCAUAUGUUAUGGAGACCAUUUACAGAUUCUAAGGAUAUGAUCAAAAGGCACACAGAGGCGUGUCAUUUAAAAUGUCUUUAUUAUUAUUAUUAUUAUUAUUAGGCUUAGAAACUUUUUUUAAAUGACAAAUUCCUUUCACAAGAGAAGCUGUAUUCUCCAUUGUGGGUUUGAAAUAAAUAAAAAAAAUAAAAGCAAGGGACCAUUGCUUAGAUAAUGCAAACCAGCUGUUGUUGUAUCAAAUUACUUAUCGGUUACUUUAGCUUGCUUAAAACUUUUCAGAAGAACAAAAAAAAAAAAAAAUAAAAGACAGAGGUCAUUAUGGACUGUCCCUAGUCUCUCACCUGAAUCUGUCUUUUUUCUUUUAAAGAACUGUGGUGUGUCCAUUGCUCACUGGCAGGCCACACACACACACACACACACACACACACACACACACACACACACACAGAGAGAGAGUAAUGCUAGGAGUUGAGGAGUUAAGCCUGGUUCAGGUUAAAUCCUCUCUGUGUGAGGAAUGAAUAAAUAUAGCAAAAGAAAAACAUUAAACUUUCUUUUAUUGUCUAGUUUGAUAGUCCGCCACAACUGAAAAAUAACAGAUAUAAAUCUAGGAAUGAAUAACAAUUCAUUUAAACAGCCACAGUGAGUGUUUUCACACAUACUGCUGGUAUACAGUGAUAUGUCGUUUGUUUUCACUCUGGUCCAAACGCCAGGAGUGUUUACAUGACUCCCGAUUGUUAAAAUGAGUAUCAAAUUAACGAUAAACUUUAACAACAGAGACACACGUACGCACUACACGGGUACGCAGUUUAUUUGUCGCGCUGCUGUUUUUGUUUCACGCUCUAGCAGUUAAUAAACAGAACUGCAUGAGUCUCGCGGAAGAACAUUGUAACCGGCGCUACUUCUCUCCGUGUAUGACUAUGGACGAGUCACCCAGGUCCUGUGCUACUCCACAGCGGCGGCGACCCGCUGGACUAAAAUAGUCCGAAAAUAAACACUUAUUAUAGGUGUACCAUGGUGAUUCAGGAUACUGACUCCAGUACUCACCGAUAUGGUUUCGGAAUCGGAACAACUCUAGGUAAAAGGAAAGAAGUGUGAGACACAGCUUUGGAGCAACUUAGUUGAUUCACAACACUAUAUAACGGGCUCUCACUCUGCGUGUGUUUCGCGCUAGUUGACGGUCGUGCUGAGCGGUGCGGGUACAGAGGAGAAGAAGAAGAAGAGAAGAGGAUGACACCAUUUGCUAAGGGGGAUGUUUUCAUUUUCAUCCUUAACACAUACAUUUUAAACCACAAAAACAUCUCUACUGCUUACCGUAACCGUAACCGACUGUGUUUACCGAGAUACUCGUAAAGGCGGAGAUUUUGAGAUAAAUUUGUGUAAAUUUGUCCGUUUAGACGCAAUGACAGGUAAAAGAGAAUUAAUUUUCUUAUUUGCACGCUGUCGGAGGCGCGCAGCUCUGAGCUCUUCGGGUGUGUGUGACGCGCACACAAAACUUAUCACAGCGCGCGCGAGUUCUCUUUCACUUGAAUGCUUAUAUUGGCAAAGCUUGAAAACGCGUGCAAAUGAUAAACUUUAAUGGCCAUGCAGCGCUGGCUCGAUCGGGAAACUGACAGUUCCUUCAGCUGUCCGGAAUGUCUUUCACGCUGAAAGGCGCAGCUGCAUCCGCCACUGAAUGAAUGACACCGGCCCCGCUGUGAUAAAUAAGAGGAUGACAUCUAAUGGAGAAGUCUAGUAAUAAGAUUAAAGUCAAUCAGAUACUAUGUCCAAUGUUUGCGUAAAUAUGAAAAAAAAAUCGAUACGUGGCUUUUGAAAAUCGAUAUCGUAUCGACCGCAUUUUUAAAAAACGAUUAAUCAAAAAAUUGAUUUUUUUGCCCAGCCCUAAUUAACAAAUCCUUGGGAACUUUUGGGAUAAUGUAAGUACACAACUUGAUGAAAUAUUUCACACUGUGCGAGUGGUUUUGGGAUGUUUUAUUACAAAAAAUCUUACAUCGUAAAAGCGAUCAUAUUCCAAUUUUGAGGACCCUUCAAUGGCUGCCUAUUAAAUUCAGAAUUGAUUUUAAAAUCCUUUUAUUUGUUUAUAAAUCUCUACGUAAUCUCGCCCCAAUCUAUUUAUCCGAAUUGCUGCAACCAUAUACUCCAUCUUUGUAUAUACUUGUGGAAUAAUCUGCCUUUAGAAAUCAGGUUAGCUCUUUCCCUGACUACUUUUAAGUCUCUCCUAAAAACGUACUUGUUUUCCAUGGAUUAUAAUUAAUCUUCUUCUGUGGUUCUUGUCGUGUUUUUAUGCUGUUAAGUGUCUAUACCUUGUUUUAUUUAUUUAUUUAUUUUUUUAAACUGUGUUUUAGCUGUGUUGUUGAUUCUAUAUCUUUUUCUUCUUUCUGAAGCUCUGUACAGCACUUUGGUCAGUUGUGUGACUGUUUUAUAAGUGCUGUAUAAAUAAACUGAACUUGAACUUACAUAUUGUGCCUUUAAUCGUCCCUACCCCUUUUAAAGAAGGGCGUGUUAAACUAAGAAACUGAUGGUUUGCUCAAGGCUGUUGAUCUGCUGAAUUUUAAACAAUGUUAUAACUUCUUGCUUUCCUGUAUUCUGCUUCAGCUCUCUUUCCCUUGGUAAACUGUAUGCAUGUGUGUGAGUGUUAGAGUAGUUUCAGUGUUUAGUUUUCAUGCUCAUAUACUGGAGUCCCUAAUCAUGCAGAUUUUGACUACAUGCUCUCGGGCAGGGGUGGGCAAACUCGGUCCUGGAGGGCCGCUGUCCCUGCAGAGUUCAGCUGCAGCCCUGAUAAAACUCACCUGCGUGUAAUCCUGAAGAUCUUGAUUAGCUGGUUCAGGUGUGUUUGAUUAGGGCUGGAGCAAAACUCUGCAGGACAGCGGCCCUCCAGGACUGAGUUUGCCCACCCCUGCUCUAGGGGAUCCAAAUAUUUAUAUGAGUUAUAAUUAAUUAUUCAUAUUUCUGUUGAGCUAAUUUGCUACACUAAGCAAAUAAUAUAUAUAUAUUUUUUUUAUCACAAUUUACAGAAAACAUUCAGUGUGUCUUUUUUAUUCAAUAAAGACAAUCAUCUGAAUCUACUUGACUCUUCUGUAAUGAACCUCUACACACAUCUCACAUGUGGUUACCCUCGGCUGUGUUCCCCUUCAGCUCCUUACUACAACAAAAUAUACAACAAUUGUUCCUAUUGUCACAUCCUUUGUCUCUUUGUUUAAUAUUUAUUUUUAAUACAGAACUAAUGUUCCCAACAAAACUCUUAAUUUCUGUUACAGAAAAAAAAAACAAUCUACCAUUUCCUUAUAACAUCUAUAUAGUUAUUUCACAUUUCCAUCACAAUAGUUCUACAUAUCUUUCUUUUUCUUUUCUUUUUUCCAUGUGACAGUUUUACACCCUUUUCAUCUUUUAAUUGUUGAGGUUUCUUUACUAAACGUCCUGCUUUUGUGAAAACAGAUGGGACUGUACAGCGCUUUACAUCUCAUUCUCCAUAUUGCUGGUGAGUUGUGACUGAGCGUCAGCGGUUUCUGCGUUUCUGUUUCACUACCUUUUGUUUUGUUUGGUUAGAGUCUCUAGGGGUCAUUCCAUGCUCCCUUCGGAGAUGUUCCCUGUUUCUCUUUAUAACACCUCCAGAAUCCAGCUGGACACUGUAGGAUCUCGAGUCAAUGGGCUUCUCCCCUGUGCACUUUCUCCAGAUCUUUUGAGGCUCAAAUGCUUGUAUUCUCACAGAGUCACCUUGUUUUAGUGUGUCUGAGUCUCUGGCGGUUCUGUUAAAGUUUGUUGGUGUUCAUACUGUGACGAGAUUCAGUGUGUCAAAAAAUCUGAAAACACAUGAGGAUCCACAGCAGAGAGAAGUGCGGAAAGAGUUUCACUAUUAAAAGUCACCUGAAGAUACACAUGAAGAUCCAUGCAGUGGAGAAACCACAUCACCACAGUCUGAGAUCACAGUAUGUAUUAAUAAUAAUACAUUAUUAAAUAAAAAAACACAGUUUUUCAUUUCAAAAGCAUUUCUAAAUUCAGUUUAUAUUUCUAACAAAAAUGGUGAGAAGUGGUGAAAAAACUGAGCUACCACCAAAUCCAAACAUUAUCAUUUCUAACUUUCUUUCUUUCUUAUUUUCUAACUUUCAGAGCUUGAGUGUAACUUUGAUGAAGACCAGUGGUGCUCUAUAUAAGAUUGUUUUUACCUCAAUAUCCUUUAACAAAAUUACAGGACGGACUUAUGAAUUCCUCACCUCACUUUGUCAGAGUAAAAUGUAUCCACAUGUAUCACAGAUAGGUGGAUCAAUUAUGCACAUCUUCUGGGAAUGUAGAAAACAAACAUUUUUGGGAAGAGGUUCGCCCACCAUUGGUGGAAAUGCUUUAAUAACUGCAUGAUCAUAUUUUUGAGCAUAGCUGAAACUGUAUUUUUUUUCUUUUAAAUGUAAUUUCUACUGUUAUUACUUAUUUACUUUUAAUAUUAUGACCAUAAUUGUUCUUCCAUCUGCUACUGUAUCUAUUGUUGUUUUUGUUCUUUCUUCGCUCUUUUUUUUCUAUAUAAAAAUAUCAAAACUAAUAAAAAGACAACAGAAAAAAGAUGAAGCGCAUGUGGAGAGCCUUUUCUUGGCACUGGGUGAAAAUGCAGUACUUGAUUUAACAAUAAAAAGAAAAAAACAUUCUAGAUUGUACUUUUCUUCAACUAUAAAUCAGCCGUAUUUGGUUAUUAUUUAGUGCUCUUGAAAGUUGAACAACAGCUGAUUUUAUAGUCUCGUUGUAUUGCUGGGCAUUUGUCAUUAUAAAUCAACACAACUAGACAAUAAUUCAUGUUAAAAGAUUUAUUAGGAAGCAAAAGCUGUAUCAGUGUCUGUCCACUAGAGGACAGAAGAGAUCAGACAUUAAGAUCAGCAGUAUAGCAAUAAUAUUCAUCAAUCACAUGCUUAUGAAAAAAAUAACAAAACACAAGAAACACCACAAUGUGGUAUCAUGACACUGAGUAUUAAAUCUGAACAAAAUUUUUUUUUUUUUUUUUUUGGAGAAGUACAAUAAGGCUACUAUAAGUGCUUCAGCAUGAAUAUAAAGGCACUUUAAAUUCAAAUAUUCAUUAAUAACAUGCUUCUGAAAAAAAUUAUAACACAAGAAACACCACAAUGGUAUUAUGCAAAAUGUCUUUUUCCAUCUUUUUUUUUUUUUGUGAGAAGUACAAUAAGGCUACUGUAAGUACUUCAGCAUGAAUAUAAAGGCACUUUAAAUUCAACUCACAUUUACAAUCAUUCAGAUAAGAUGAAGAUUCACUUCACAUCAUAUCUUUGAUAUACUCUUAUUCAAGCAUAAUUAUGUCAUAUAACAAAAAAAAGCCAUACAUUUACAACUUAAAAAGAAAUAUAUAUAUAUAUAUAUA